UCAUAUUUUUUUUCAGUGGUUAGAGUAUUGCUUUCAUACGGCGGGAGUCAUUGGUUCAAAUCCAAUAGUAGGUA
rnacentral:tRNA from 1 species